CGGGGCUGGGCGCUCAGAGCCCCAGCGGGAGCUUGCUCUCCCAGGAGUUUCCUGUGCAGAGCCCCGCUCCAGUCGCGCGGGAGUUCCAGUCUGAGUGCCCUCCUCUCCCACCUCCCUAUCCUCAUCACAGCAUGUAAAGUCCUCCUUCCCUCCUCGGACUUUGCCAAGGCGGCAACUUUCCUCUCUAGCCUCCGGGAGCACAGCAGCAGAAGCACGAGGGGCAGCGCGCAGCACCUUGAGCGAGGAGAGCUGAGGGGAUGGCCGCGCUGAGAGCGCCAAGGACAUGGAGAAACAGCUGCAGAAGACUGAGCGGGACUACGUGGGCACCCUGGAGUUCCUAGCGUCGGUGCACCCUGAGUGUAACACUGGAGCGAGCCAUCAUUCUACCCAGGAGCCAUGGGCUGCCACCUUGCUACAUUAUGCAGGCUACAGAUGUGAUGCGGAAGUAGGGAGCAAGAGUUCAGAACACAGCAAAGAAUUUGGAAGUGAGAGACUGGACCCCUCAAUCA
rnacentral:lncRNA from 1 species